AUGAAUAUUUACAGAAAUUCAUAUUUACUCACUUUGUACAGUACAGUAAUUGUAUCUUCUGCCCCAGGGAGAUACCGGUAGAGAAAAUGGGAACUUGCUAAAAUAAAAUUCAACUCCCAACAAGAAUACAGCUCAUUUACAUGUCAUAACUUUUAUGCCUUUUGUUCCCAUCUCGAGUGUCAAAGCUGGCCACGAAGGAGGGAUUCUAGGUUGAUUACAACUUCCCUCUCACCUUUC